rnacentral:rRNA from 1 species
ACAUGCCUACAACAUAGCAUUAAUGCAUCAUAUCCCAUUAGAACUUCGUAGUUAAGCGCGCUUAGGCUAGAGUAGCACUGGGAUGGGUGAUCACCCAGGAAUGCCUAGUAUUUUACAUGCC